AAAUUAUAUGAAACACUUUUUUAAUGGAAAUCUGUAUUUUUGUCGCGUAAAGUACAACCAGGCAUGACCUUGAUUGUAUAUGGUUGCCAUUUGAAAAACUGACCUUGACCUACAAAUCCUGAGCAAGGGAAAAAUCCCGAACCCCUGGUAUUUGGGUCUUCUACCAAAAUUCACAGGGUUUAGGAUUUUUCCUGACUAUCUAAUGGUAACCUUGGAUUUGACCUUGACUAUACCUUUUGAAUCAUUUGAAAGUCAAGGUCACCUGCCAUUCAUGGAGAUACGGAGAAAAAUGCUAUAAAACCUCAAUUUUAUUUUAAAAAAAGCUCCAUUUAGAUCCCUAGAAUUUCCACGAUGAAAGUUUGCUAAAAAAUUCAAUCAACUGAAAUUGUAUUAGUGUCAGAAGUCCUACAUUAACAGGCGUAUAUAUGGGCAAUGAAUAUCCAAUUUGGAAAGUUUCGAAAAGAUACAGGGG